UAGAGUUUGAUCAUGGCUCAGGAUGAACGCUAGCGGCAGGCUUAACACAUGCAAGUCGAAGGGCAUCGCGGGGAGUGCUUGCACUCCCUGGCGGCGACUGGCGCACGGGUGAGUAACACGUAUGCAACCUGCCCUCCACAGGGGGACAACCUUCCGAAAGGGAGGCUAAUCCCGCGUAAAUCUCGAUGGGGCAUCCCAUUGAGAGGAAAGCUUCGGCGGUGGAGGAUGGGCAUGCGGCGCAUUAGCUAGUCGGCGGGGUAACGGCCCACCGAGGCGACGAUGCGUAGGGGUUCUGAGAGGAAGGUCCCCCACACUGGUACUGAGACACGGACCAGACUCCUACGGGAGGCAGCAGUGAGGAAUAUUGGUCAAUGGGCGCGAGCCUGAACCAGCCAAGUCGCGUGAGGGAAGAUGGUCCUAUGGAUUGUAAACCUCUUUUGUCGGGGAGCAAAAGACGCCACGCGUGGCGCUCCGAGAGUACCCGAAGAAAAAGCAUCGGCUAACUCCGUGCCAGCAGCCGCGGUAAUACGGAGGAUGCGAGCGUUAUCCGGAUUUAUUGGGUUUAAAGGGUGCGCAGGCGGAAGAUCAAGUCAGCGGUAAAAUUGAGAGGCUCAACCUCUUCGAGCCGUUGAAACUGGUUUUCUUGAGUGAGCGAGAAGUAUGCGGAAUGCGUGGUGUAGCGGUGAAAUGCAUAGAUAUCACGCAGAACUCCGAUUGCGAAGGCAGCAUACCGGCGCUCAACUGACGCUCAUGCACGAAAGUGUGGGUAUCGAACAGGAUUAGAUACCCUGGUAGUCCACACAGUAAACGAUGAAUACUAAUUGUUCGGGGAGAAUGAUCCCUGAGUGAUACAGCGAAAGCGUUAAGUAUUCCACCUGGGGAGUACGCCGGCAACGGUGAAACUCAAAGGAAUUGACGGGGGCCCGCACAAGCGGAGGAACAUGUGGUUUAAUUCGAUGAUACACGAGGAACCUUACCCGGGCUCAAACGACACAGGAAUACUUUUGAAAGGAGGUAGCUCUACGGAGCCUGUGUCGAGGUGCUGCAUGGUUGUCGUCAGCUCGUGCCGUGAGGUGUCGGCUUAAGUGCCAUAACGAGCGCAACCCCCAUCGCCAGUUACCAGCAAGUCAAGUUGGGGACUCUGGCGAGACUGCCGGCGCAAGCUGUGAGGAAGGCGGGGAUGACGUCAAAUCAGCACGGCCCUUACGUCCGGGGCGACACACGUGUUACAAUGGCAGGUACAGAGAGAAGCAAUGCGGCGACGCAAAGCGGAACUUGAAAGCCUGUCUCAGUUCGGAUUGGAGUCUGCAACUCGACUCCAUGAAGCUGGAUUCGCUAGUAAUCGCGCAUCAGCCAUGGCGCGGUGAAUACGUUCCCGGGCCUUGUACACACCGCCCGUCAAGCCAUGGAAGCCGGGAGUGCCUGAAGUGUGCAACCGCAAGGAGCGCCCUAAGGUAAAACUGGUGACUGGGGCUAAGUCGUAACAAGGUAACCGUA
rnacentral:rRNA from 1 species